ensembl:snoRNA
AACCUUCUUCCCUUUCCUAACAGAUCUGAAUGCUGGUCUAGGUGGCUGUAAAGGAGGGAAAGUAAUAGUGAAGCUUGCUCAUAGACUGCACUGCAGUCUGGCAUAGCAGGAGGGCUUGUUUCAAACAGUU